rnacentral:rRNA from 1 species
CGAACUCUGGUAUUGAUUGGUGCUUGCAUCAUGAUUUACAUUUGAGUGAGUGGCGAACUGGUGAGUAACACGUGGGAAACCUGCCCAGAAGCGGGGGAUAACACCUGGAAACAGAUGCUAAUACCGCAUAACAACUUGGACCGCAUGGUCCGAGUUUGAAAGAUGGCUUCGGCUAUCACUUUUGGAUGGUCCCGCGGCGUAUUAGCUAGAUGGUGAGGUAACGGCUCACCAUGGCAAUGAUACGUAGCCGACCUGAGAGGGUAAUCGGCCACAUUGGGACUGAGACACGGCCCAAACUCCUACGGGAGGCAGCAGUAGGGAAUCUUCCACAAUGGACGAAAGUCUGAUGGAGCAACGCCGCGUGAGUGAAGAAGGGUUUCGGCUCGUAAAACUCUGUUGUUAAAGAAGAACAUAUCUGAGAGUAACUGUUCAGGUAUUGACGGUAUUUAACCAGAAAGCCACGGCUAACUACGUGCCAGCAGCCGCGGUAAUACGUAGGUGGCAAGCGUUGUCCGGAUUUAUUGGGCGUAAAGCGAGCGCAGGCGGUUUUUUAAGUCUGAUGUGAAAGCCUUCGGCUCAACCGAAGAAGUGCAUCGGAAACUGGGAAACUUGAGUGCAGAAGAGGACAGUGGAACUCCAUGUGUAGCGGUGAAAUGCGUAGAUAUAUGGAAGAACACCAGUGGCGAAGGCGGCUGUCUGGUCUGUAACUGACGCUGAGGCUCGAAAGUAUGGGUAGCAAACAGGAUUAGAUACCCUGGUAGUCCAUACCGUAAACGAUGAAUGCUAAGUGUUGGAAGGUUUCCGCCCUUCAGUGCUGCAGCUAACGCAUUAAGCAUUCCGCCUGGGGAGUACGGCCGCAAGGCUGAGACUCACAGGAAUUGACGGGGGCCCGCACAAGCGGUGGAGCAUGUGGU